rnacentral:tRNA from 2 species
GGAGAGAUGCUCGAGUGGUUGAAGAGGCACGCCUGGAAAGCGUGUAAACGCCUAAAGCGUUUCGGGGGUUCGAAUCCCCCUCUCUCCG